rnacentral:tRNA from 1 species
GGGCAAGUAACCGAACUGGUAUAGGUGCUGGUCUUAGGAACCAGUGGAGAAAUCCGUGGGGGUUCGAGUCCCCCCUUGCCCACAA